UCGAGGAUCUUCGGCAAUGGGCGCAAGCCUGACCGAGCGACGCCGCGUGCGGGAUGAAGGCCUUCGGGUUGUAAACCGCCGUCAGAGGGGAGGAAAUGCCAAGGGGUUCUCUUCUUGGUUUGACCUAUCCUCAGAGGAAGUACGGGCUAAGUUCGUGCCAGCAGCCGCGGUAAGACGAACCGUACAAACGUUAUUCGGAAUCACUGGGCUUAAAGGGUGCGUAGGCGGCCCGGAAAGUUGGGUGUGAAAUACCUCGGCUCAACCGAGGAACGGCACUCAAAACUACCGGGCUUGAGGAAGACAGAGGUGAGCGGAACUACGGGUGGAGCGGUGAAAUGCGUUGAUAUCCGUAGGAACACCGGUAGCGAAAGCGGCUCACUGGGUCUUAUCUGACGCUGAGUGCACGAAAGCUAGGGGAGCGAACG
rnacentral:rRNA from 1 species